rnacentral:rRNA from 1 species
UACGUAGGGGGCUAGCGUUGUCCGGAUUUAUUGGGCGUAAAGAGCGUGUAGGCGGCCAGGUAGGUCUGCUGUGAAAACUCGAGGCUCAACCUCGAGAUGUCGGCGGAAACCAUCUGGCUAGAGUCCGGAAGAGGAGAGUGGAAUUCCUGGUGUAGCGGUGAAAUGCGCAGAUAUCAGGAAGAACACCCGUGGCGAAGGCGGCUCUCUGGGGACGGUACUGACGCUGAGACGCGAAAGCGUGGGGAGCGAACAGG